AACGAACGCUGGCGGCAUGCCUAACACAUGCAAGUCGAACGAGACCUUCGGGUCUAGUGGCGCACGGGUGCGUAACGCGUGGGAAUCUGCCCUUGGGUUCGGAAUAACCAGGAGAAAUCCUGGCUAAUACCGGAUGAUGUCUUCGGACCAAAGAUUUAUCGCCCAGGGAUGAGCCCGCGUCGGAUUAGCUAGCUGGUGAGGUAAAGGCUCACCAAGGCGACGAUCCGUAGCUGGUCUGAGAGGAUGAUCAGCCACACUGGGACUGAGACACGGCCCAGACUCCUACGGGAGGCAGCAGUGGGGAAUAUUGGACAAUGGGCGAAAGCCUGAUCCAGCAAUGCCGCGUGAGUGAUGAAGGCCUUAGGGUUGUAAAGCUCUUUUACCCGGGAUGAUAAUGACAGUACCGGGAGAAUAAGCCCCGGCUAACUCCGUGCCAGCAGCCGCAGUAACAC
rnacentral:rRNA from 1 species